rnacentral:rRNA from 1 species
CCUACGGGAGGCAGCAGUGAGGAAUAUUGGUCAAUGGCCGGAAGGCUGAACCAGCCAAGCCGCGUGAAGGACGAAGGUGCCAAGCAUUGUAAACUUCUUUUGUCAAGGGACAAAAUCAGGCUCGAGCGCCUGACCGAGGGUACUUGAAGAAAAAGCAUCGGCUAACUCCGUGCCAGCAGCCGCGGUAAUACGGAGGAUGCGAGCGUUAUCCGGAUUUAUUGGGUUUAAAGGGUUCGUAGGCGGGCUGUUAAGUCAGCGGUAAAAGCCCGGGGCUCAACCCCGGCGAGCCGUUGAAACUGGCGGUCUGGAGAGGUCGAGAGGUAGGGGGAAGGCGCAGUGUAGCGGUGAAAUGCUUAGAUAUUGCGCAGAACUCCGAUUGCGAAGGCAGCAUACCGGAGGGGAUCUGACGCUGAGGCACGAAAGCGGGGGUAUCGAACAGGAUUAGAUACCCUUGUAGUC